rnacentral:tRNA from 1 species
GCUGAGGUAGCCAACCGGACCAUGGCACCGGUCUUGAAAUGUGGUGGUGCACUUUGCCACGGGAGUUCGAAUCUCUCCCUCAGCG